rnacentral:tmRNA from 1 species
GGGGGUGCUCUGGUUUCGACAGGGUUACUGAAGUGUUAGUUGCAUGCCGAGGGUCUGGUUGGCCUCGUAAAAAAACCGGAAAAACACAAGUGCAAACGAAAAUUACGCACUCGCAGCUUAAUUAAAGCUACGGCGGGACUGAUCCCCAGCUCGGAGGGAGACUGUUUCGCUCAUUAAACCGAGCUUUGAGUGAUUGUAUGUUUAGGGCAACACUCUAAGUUUACUAAACUAGAUUUCUAAUUCGCCAGCCUUCUAGGGCGUUUAUAAAUCGAAACUCAAAUACAAAGGAAAAGCAUGUAGGAGCGUACAGGGAUGUGAUUUUGGACAGGAGUUCGACUCUCCUCACCUCCAUUU